CCUUUGAUAGCUCAGCUGGUAGAGCGGAGGACUGUAGAUCUAUCAUAGCAAUCCUUAGGUCGCUGGUUCAAUUCCGGCUCGAAGGA
rnacentral:tRNA from 1 species